AGUCAUGGUUAAGUGGGAAACGAUGUGGGAAGGCCCAGACAGCCAGGAUGUUGGCUUAGAAGCAGCCAUCAUUUAAAGAAAGCGUAAUAGCUCACUGGUCGAGUCGGCCUGCGCGGAAGAUGUAACGGGGCUAAACCAUGCACCGAAGCUGCGGCAGCGACGCUGAUGCGUUGUUGGGUAGGGGAGCGUUCUGUAAGCCUGCGAAGGUGUGCUGUGAGGCAUGCUGGAGGUAUCAGAAGUGCGAAUGCUGACAUAAGUAACGAUAAAGCGGGUGAAAAGCCCGCUCGCCGGAAGACCAAGGGUUCCUGUCCAACGUUAAUCGGGGCAGGGUGAGUCGACCCCUAAGGCGAGGCCGAAAGGCGUAGUCGAUGGGAAACAGGUUAA
rnacentral:rRNA from 1 species